GCCAUCUUGGGGAGGUCGGCGCUGGAGGAGGUGGAGCCCGGGAGGUGCUGCCCGCUGACGACCGGCUUUCUCAGCCUCGGUUUGGGCGGCGGGACAGCCGGGUUUGGCUUCAGGAGGAUUAUAUAUCUGCCUGGCAUCCCUUUUUGGUCCUGCUGGAGAUUUCUUGGGUGGUGAACCGGAAGUUGUAUCUUCAUUGGCUCUCUUUUGCCUAUAAUGGUUUCCAGGAUAAUGUUACUGUGCUUUUAUAAGAAGGAGGAAUGUGGAAAAGAUCCUAAAAAGACAAAAUGAAGACAAGAUUUCUAAUAUAUCUGGUGGUACAGAGAAUGGUGAUGAGGGUAACAAACAUGGAGACAUCUUAAAGUUUAGGAGAGAAUAAGCUCUAAUCUAUUCUUGUUCACCUAAAAAAAAAAAGUUGCCUGAGAAAAACAGAUGAUUUUUUUUUUUUACAAAUUAUACCUAUUAAACUUCAUUAAUGUCAUUUUGUAUACAUCACUUCAAAACUGUAGCUAAGUUUUUUUUCUUUUUCUUUAUUUAUUUGAGAGAGAGUGCAAGCUUCAGCACGAGGUGGGGGGCAGAGGGAGAGGCAGAAGCAGACCCCUGCUCGCUGAGCAGAAGCCUGACAUGGGGCUCAAUCCCAGGACACUGGGAUCAUGACCUGAGCCAAAGGCAGAUGCUUAACCGACUGAGCCACCCAGGCAUCCCUAGCUAAAUUUUUUCUAAACGAUCAUUUAGAAUUCCAGGAUAAAAUAUAUUAACUGUAUUAAACGAUGUCUUAAGUAUUUCUUUUGCACAGCUGCAGUCACCAAGGUGCUUUAAGGGAAAAAGAAUGGUGCAAACUACAUUUGCUUUUGCAGACUUUUAAGUGGUUCAAAAUUAGAACAAAAUUAGAAAACUAAAGCCCUGGCUAAUCAUAUUUUUCUUCUUCUCAAAUAUCUAUAAAUUACCAAUAAGGGAAAAACCCACAAGAUUUAAAUACCAAAAUAUUAGUAUGUGGUAAUGCAAAUGUUUGCUGAAUUUAAAAGUUAAAGUAAUCUAGAACUGAAAUAAUCUAACGUCAAGAUAUCCUCAAAACUUGGAUGGAUUUCUAAAUAUAUUUAUUCUUAGUAUUUUACCUUUCUUAUCAGCUUUAACUUUGAUUUUUUAGAAGAUUUUAUGUAUCUAUUUGAGAGAGAAAGUGAGUGGGAGGGAUGGGGUGAGAGUAUCUGAAGGAGACUCCAUGCUGAGCAGAGCUGAAAACGAGGCUCAAUCCUGUGACUGUGAGAUCAUGACCUGAGCUGAAACCAAGAGUUGGACACCCAACCGACUGAGCCACUAAGGCACCCCACUCUGAUUUUUAUAUGUAGGUAAAAUUUGAUUAAACUGUGUUCUUUCCACAGUUAAAACAUACUAAUAAAAUCACCUACUAUAUGAAACUUAAGUCUACUGUGCCAGAUAAAUGCAGGGAAUUAGUGAUAAAGUCCUUUGGAUCAAAAAUGCUUGAGGUUUCUAACUGGACUGAUUUAACAUAUGAUGUUAUUAAAGGGAUUUUACUUUAUAUGAGAAAAUGGAUGUUGGCUCUAUUUGUGGUAUAUAUAUAUGUAUGUUAAUCAUAUUCUGUACUUUAAACUGAUACAAUGACAUGUGUAUAUUCUCAAAAAAAUCUCACAUUUUGAUAUAUGAAUUCAGUCUGAAAUUAUUAUUUUUAAGGUUUUGAAAUGAG